rnacentral:rRNA from 1 species
GACGAACGCUGGCGGCGUGCUUAACACAUGCAAGUCGAACGGAAAGGCCCUGCUUGCAGGGUACUCGAGUGGCGAACGGGUGAGUAACACGUGGGUGAUCUGCCCUGCACUUCGGGAUAAGCUUGGGAAACUGGGUCUAAUACCGGAUAGGAACCAUCUUUAGUGUGGUGGUUGGAAAGUUUUUUCGGUGUAGGAUGAGCUCGCGGCCUAUCAGCUUGUUGGUGGGGUAAUGGCCUACCAAGGCGGCGACGGGUAGCCGGCCUGAGAGGGUGUACGGCCACAUUGGGACUGAGAGACGGCCCAGACUCCUACGGGAGGCAGCAGUGGGGAAUAUUGCACAAUGGGCGCAAGCCUGAUGCAGCGACGCCGCGUGGGGGAUGAAGGCCUUCGGGUUGUAAACUCCUUUCGCUAGGGACGAAGCUUUGUUGUGACGGUACCUAGAUAAGAAGCACCGGCUAACUACGUG